CUACGGGGGGCUGCAGUGGGGAAUAUUGGACAAUAGGGGAAACCCUGAUCCAGCAAUGCCGCGUGUGUGAAGAAGGCCUGCGGGUUGUAAAGCACUUUCGGUUGGGAGGACUGCUUCUAGCACUAAUAUUGUUGGAAGUUGACGUUACCUUCAGAAGAAGCACCGGCUAACUCCGUGCCAGCAGCCGCGGUAAUACGGAGGGUGCAAGCGUUAAUCGGAAUUACUGGGCGUAAAGCGCGCGUAGGCGGCUAGAUCAGUCGGGUGUGAAAGCCCCGGGCUUAACCUGGGAACUGCAUCCGAUACUGUCUAGCUUGAGUACAGGAGAGGAGAGUGGAAUUCCACAUGUAGCGGUGAAAUGCGUAGAUAUGUGGAGGAACACCAAUGGCGAAGGCAGCUCUCUGGCCUGAUACUGACGCUGAGGUGCGAAAGCGUGGGGAGCAAGCAGGAUUAGAUACCCUAGUAGUC
rnacentral:rRNA from 1 species